rnacentral:rRNA from 1 species
AGCAGCCGCGGUAAUUCCAGCUCCAAUAGCGUAUAUUAAAGUUGUUGCAGUUAAAAAGCUCGUAGUUGAAUUUCGGGGUCAGUAGGUCGGUCGUGCCACUGGUAUGAACUGGUUUUACUGAUUCCUCCCUCUUGAAGAACUGUAAUGCCAUUAAUUUGGUGUUGCAGGGAAUCGGGACUGUUACUUUGAAAAAAUUAGAAUGUUUAAAGCAGGCUUUAGCUUGAAUACAUUAGCAUGGAAUAAUGAAAUAGGACGUUUGAUCCUAUUUUGUUGGUUUCUAGGAUUUGACGUAAUGAUUAAUAGGGAUAGUUGGGGGCAUUAGUAUUCAAUUGUCAGAGGUGAAAUUCUUGGAUUUAUUGAAGACUAACUACUGCGAAAGCAUUUGCCAAGGAUGUUUUCAUUAAUCAAGAACGAAAGUUAGGGGAUCGAAGACGAUCAGAUACCGUCGUAGUCUUAACCAUAAACUAUGCCGACUAGGGAUCGGAUGAUGUUAAUUUUUUAAUGACUCAUUCGGCGCCUU